CUGAGGAGUACAAGGCUGCACUACAGAGAGCUGUUAUACUGGCUGUGCCGCAUGCAUAUUCACCUUCUCAGUAUGGAACUUUUGAUGAGCAAGAGGAAGGACUCAAAGGCGAUGAAUCACAAAUAUCAUCAAGUGGGGAAUCUUCUUUUGGUUCUUCAAGGAAAAGAAUGUCGAAAGAAAACUGGGAUGAAUUGAUCGAACGUCUAUUUGAGAAGGAUGAAUCUGGUCAUAUGGUGAUAAAAAAAUCACAUAGGAAUGAUUGAUAAUGAUGUAGCGGUGUAAGGAUAUCAUGAAAAAGAGUUGAGUAUGAGUUUGCGGCG
rnacentral:misc_RNA from 1 species